AGAGUUUGAUCAUGGCUCAGAUUGAACGCUGGCGGCAGGCCUAACACAUGCAAGUCGAACGGUAACAGGAAACAGCUUGCUGUUUCGCUGACGAGUGGCGGACGGGUGAGUAAUGUCUGGGAAACUGCCUGAUGGAGGGGGAUAACUACUGGAAACGGUAGCUAAUACCGCAUAACGUCGCAAGACCAAAGAGGGGGACCUUCGGGCCUCUUGCCAUCAGAUGUGCCCAGAUGGGAUUAGCUAGUAGGUGGGGUAACGGCUCACCUAGGCGACGAUCCCUAGCUGGUCUGAGAGGAUGACCAGCCACACUGGAACUGAGACACGGUCCAGACUCCUACGGGAGGCAGCAGUGGGGAAUAUUGCACAAUGGGCGCAAGCCUGAUGCAGCCAUGCCGCGUGUAUGAAGAAGGCCUUCGGGUUGUAAAGUACUUUCAGCGGGGAGGAAGGGAGUAAAGUUAAUACCUUUGCUCAUUGACGUUACCCGCAGAAGAAGCACCGGCUAACUCCGUGCCAGCAGCCGCGGUAAUACGGAGGGUGCAAGCGUUAAUCUGAAUUACUGGGCGUAAAGCGCACGCAGGCGGUUUGUUAAGUCAGAUGUGAAAUCCCCGGGCUCAACCUGGGAACUGCAUCUGAUACUGGCAAGCUUGAGUCUCGUAGAGGGGGGUAGAAUUCCAGGUGUAGCGGUGAAAUGCGUAGAGAUCUGGAGGAAUACCGGUGGCGAAGGCGGCCCCCUGGACGAAGACUGACGCUCAGGUGCGAAAGCGUGGGGAGCAAACAGGAUUAGAUACCCUGGUAGUCCACGCCGUAAACGAUGUCGACUUGGAGGUUGUGCCCUUGAGGCGUGGCUUCCGGAGCUAACGCGUUAAGUCGACCGCCUGGGGAGUACGGCCGCAAGGUUAAAACUCAAAUGAAUUGACGGGGGCCCGCACAAGCGGUGGAGCAUGUGGUUUAAUUCGAUGCAACGCGAAGAACCUUACCUGGUCUUGACAUCCACGGAAGUUUUCAGAGAUGAGAAUGUGCCUUCGGGAACCGUGAGACAGGUGCUGCAUGGCUGUCGUCAGCUCGUGUUGUGAAAUGUUGGGUUAAGUCCCGCAACGAGCGCAACCCUUAUCCUUUGUUGCCAGCGGUCCGGCCGGGAACUCAAAGGAGACUGCCAGUGAUAAACUGGAGGAAGGUGGGGAUGACGUCAAGUCAUCAUGGCCCUUACGACCAGGGCUACACACGUGCUACAAUGGCGCAUACAAAGAGAAGCGACCUCGCGAGAGCAAGCGGACCUCAUAAAGUGCGUCGUAGUCCGGAUUGGAGUCUGCAACUCGACUCCAUGAAGUCGGAAUCGCUAGUAAUCGUGGAUCAGAAUGCCACGGUGAAUACGUUCCCGGGCCUUGUACACACCGCCCGUCACACCAUGGGAGUGGGUUGCAAAAGAAGUAGGUAGCUUAACCUUCGGGAGGGCGCUUACCACUUUGUGAUUCAUGACUGGGGUGAAGUCGUAACAAGGUAACCGUAGGGGAACCUGCGGUUG
rnacentral:rRNA from 1 species